CCUACGGGAGGCAGCAGUAGGGAAUCUUCCGCAAUGGACGAAAGUCUGACGGAGCAACGCCGCGUGAACGAUGAAGGCCUUCGGGUCGUAAAGUUCUGUUGUUAGGGAAGAACAAGUGCUAGUUGAAUAAGCUGGCACCUUGACGGUACCUAACCAGAAAGCCACGGCUAACUACGUGCCAGCAGCCGCGGUAAUACGUAGGUGGCAAGCGUUGUCCGGAAUUAUUGGGCGUAAAGCGCGCGCAGGCGGUUUCUUAAGUCUGAUGUGAAAGCCCCCGGCUCAACCGGGGAGGGUCAUUGGAAACUGGGAAACUUGAGUGCAGAAGAGGAAAGUGGAAUUCCAAGUGUAGCGGUGAAAUGCGUAGAGAUUUGGAGGAACACCAGUGGCGAAGGCGACUUUCUGGUCUGUAACUGACGCUGAGGCGCGAAAGCGUGGGGAGCAAACAGGAUUAGAUACCCUGGUAGUCCACGCUGUAAACGAUGAGUGCUAAGUGUUAGAGGGUUUCCGCCUUUAGUGCUGAAGUUAACGCAUUAAGCACUCCGCCUGGGGAUACGGUCGCAAGACUGAAACUUAAAGAGUAGUGCGUGAGAGAGCGACGACGACGACGAGGAGGAGG
rnacentral:rRNA from 1 species